AACUGAUACUACCUGCGGGAACCUGCGGAGGGAUCAUUACUGAAGUGAUUUGGGGAUGUUGCUGGCCCUCUCUCAAGGGGGGGCACUGUGCACUCCUCGAAACAAUUCACAAUUUCCAUCACACCCCUUGUGCACACCUUGUAGGCACCCAGACCCACCUCCGGGUGGUGGGGUCCUAUGUAUUCCUUCAUCUCACACUCUGUUGAAUGGUGCCAUGGGACGCAUCUAAAGGAUUAUUUG
rnacentral:misc_RNA from 1 species